rnacentral:lncRNA from 1 species
CGUGGUGACUUCACAGAUCCUGUGUGAUGGCAGUGCUGACACCGACAGGAAAUGAAAACAUUUCUCCCCCUGAGACAGGAGCUCGCGCUGCACUCUACCUUGGCCACCUGUUCUCGCAGCCUGCUAGAGUCACUCUGGACCCUGUUCCCAGCCAGCGCAGACUUGCCUGUCCCUCCCAGCCUUCCUGCUUGACUGUGGUCCCCAGGAAGGGUUUAGUGGAGUAACAGUGUGGCCAGGAAAUAUGAUCUCAUAACAAUCCUCCUGCCUCAGCCUCCUGAGUGCUGGAAUUACAGGUAUGUGCCACCACACCCGGCCUUUUUUUUUUUUUUUUUUUUGGUAGAGAAUUUAAAAAAAAAUCUUGUAAAGCACUCUGAAUAAAAAAUACUUUUGGUAUUUAGAAAUUGUUUUCUCAGUUGUUUACAGUUGUGUCAACUACACCUAUAUCAACUGCAGGUGUCUUCAAUGAACCUCUCUGUCUAUGUCUCUGUCUCUCUCUGUCUCUCUGUUUCUGUCUCUGUCUCUCUUUCUCUCUAUUUUUUUGU